CACGUAGGGUGCGAGCGUUGUCCGGAAUUAUUGGGCGUAAAGAGCUCGUAGGCGGUGUGUCGCGUCGGCCGUGAAAACCUGCAGCUUAACUGUGGGCUUGCGGUCGAUACGGGCAUCACUGGAGUUCGGCAGGGGAGAGUGGAAUUCCCGGUGUAGCGGUGAAAUGCGCAGAUAUCGGGAAGAACACCCGUGGCGAAGGCGGCUCUCUGGGACGGUACUGACGCUGAGACGCGAAAGCGUGGGGAGCGAACAGG
rnacentral:rRNA from 1 species